UAAAUAGCCGCAGAAUUUUUUCUGUGCUAAGGUAGCAUAAUCAAUAGUCUUUUAAUUAAAGAAUAGAAUGAAUGGUUAAACGAAUUUUAAACUUAUUUAUUAAUAAAUUAUUAAAUUAUUUAAUAAGUAAAAAAACUUAUAUACCAAAGAAAGACGACAAGACCCUAUCAAACUUCACUAAAGUUAUACUGGGGAAGUAAAUUAACAAAAUCUUAAUUUUUUAUAAAAAAUUAACCUAAUUGAUUUUUGAACAAGUUACUGUAGGGAUAACAGCAUAAUAAAUUUCUAAAGCUCGUAUUUACAAAUUAGUUUAUGACCUCGAUGUUGAAUUAAUUUCCUAACCAAAGAAAAAAAUUAUUAAGGAAGACUGUUCGUCUUUUAAAAAAUU
rnacentral:rRNA from 1 species